CAGCCGCCGCGGUAAUACGUAGGUGGCAAGCGUUGUCCGGAAUUAUUGGGCGUAAAGGGCUCGCAGGCGGUUUCUUAAGUCUGAUGUGAAAGCCCCCGGCUCAACCGGGGAGGGUCAUUGGAAACUGGGAAACUUGAGUGCAGAAGAGGAGAGUGGAAUACCACGUGUAGCGGUGAAAUGCGUAGAGAUGUGGAGGAACACCAGUGGCGAAGGCGACUCUCUGGUCUGUAACUGACGCUGAGGAGCGAAAGCGUGGGGAGCGAACAGGAUUAGAUACCCGCGUAGUCCCUGUCUCUUAUAC
rnacentral:rRNA from 1 species